CCCUGAGCGUGCUUCUGUACCGUUUGGAGCAGCUGUUCUGAUGGGCAGUCCUAACUCUGAAAUCCUGUCACAGACGAGCUCCACUGACCCGUGACCAUGAACUGAGCAAGCUACGAGAUGAGUGGCAAAUUCAAGCUGACCUUACAUUCCAAGGUCCUCCAUGGAGAAGGAAACCUGCAGCUCAAUCAAUACUCAUCCUUCCUGACAACCUGCUUUCUGGAAAAGGCCUCUUUUGGGGGGUAAAAGGCUAAAGAGGGCUUUAAAAAUUCAGUCUGCACUGAAAGAGAACUUCCACAGUGAUAGAUGUGAGGUUCUGGAAGAGAAACAGCAGAAGUCCUUGAGAGGAAAGCCAAAGCCAAUCUCUCCAAACAUCUCAAAGUGGACGCAUCUGCAUUUGUCAAACUCGGCCUGUGCCAGGGUCUCAUCCAACAGGACGGGACAUGGCUGAACUGGACCUUUAAGGAAGGGACAUCUCCCAUGUGAGAGAGACCUCAGGAGUCAGCCACUCUCAAGCUCAUGGCCACAGUGUAGAUUACCAUUGUCCCUGAGGGUCCAUUGUGAAAGGUCUGCUGGGAACCUCUGAACUCAGUCAAUUAUUAAACACUUCUGACUUUGCUGCA